rnacentral:tRNA from 13 species
AAGCAUCGGCCGGGAAUCGAACCCGCCGCCCGUGGCAGGCGAGAUUCUACCACUGAACCACGAUGCU